AGAGCAGUGAAAUCAUGUAGCAUUGCAACCUCUGUCAUGCAGUGCCAGUGAGGAAAGCCCCCAUGACAUAGGCCUUGUCAAAGCAUCUCUCCUGUUUUUCAGGGUUUAUUUUUUUCAACCUCUCCUAUGACAUUGAGGAAUUCCCUCUCCUUCAUUGUUUGUGCUACACCCUGCUGAGGAUUUCUCUUAUCUUUCAGGGUGGGUGUUACUGGCAGAUCAUUCUGCAGCUCACUGUGAAGUUAUUUCCUCAUUCCCCUUCCCUUUAUUGGGUUGUGGUGUGAGUUGCCUACUCGCACAGUUCUCGAUAGGGAAGCACCCUAUUGCUUUUCUUCAGCUGCAGAGGUCCUGUUUAGGCAAAACAAGACCAGGGCAAGAAGGAGAGCGUGGCGGCAAGCAGAGGGGCAGGGAACUGAGGCAUGGAGCUGGCUGGGAAGUGAGGAAGAUGAGGCUCAGGAAGCUCAAGAAGCAGCUCACAGUGAGAACAUCUGUCCUUACCUUUAGGAUGCUCCAGUGAAGCUCAUCCUCAACUGCUGAAUGGCUGAGAUGCUAAGGUAAAGAUCAUGACCUUUCCUGAGAGGAGAUGGGACACUGCAGGCCCUUGAUCACCCCUGGAAAAGAUCCUACCAUCAACCUGCUGAAGACCUGGUUCUGGUAUCACCAGCUCCAUCCCAGAACGGGUACUUCUUGUCUUCACUUUGCUUUCAGCACUGAACACAGAAAUUAGAUCAAAGAUCAAACAUCAUCACCCCGCCCCCCCCCCAAAAAAAAGAAGAAGCCAAACAAAAAAUCCACCAUUAAUAAAAUAUAUUAACAUACAAAUAAAAUAUUUAAU
rnacentral:lncRNA from 1 species